rnacentral:lncRNA from 1 species
CGGGCCGUGUGCUCCUAGUCGUCCUCUCCUCGAGGUGCCCCGCUGUGACCAGCAGACCUGCACACAGACGCAAGACAGGAUAAACAUCUGGGAAGCACAGGUAUAUGAGGCACAGAAACACAAGGCACUGUGGAUGCCUCUUCUGUCUGGACAGAAAACUGGAGUCAGGAGACCUCUCUGAGUCCCCAGAGACAGAAUCAUCACUACUGUGUGUCCUUGGAACUUAAAGUAGUAAAAAAAAAAAAAGACACAGCAAGAAGUUCACAGUCUGCAACUUGAAAGAGGACCCUCACAAGAACCCAACCAUGCUGGUACCUGAUCUUGGACUUCCAGACUUCCAGAACUGUGAGGAAAAAAAUAUUGCUGUUGUUUAUAAGCCACCCAGACUAUGGUAUUUUAUUAUAGCAACCCGAACAGACUGGUAUGGUUAAUGUAUGGAUUUUUGCCAAUUUUUACCUUACCCUCCAACAUUAAAGAAACUUGUUACUUUGCUACUUUAUUUUCUUCCCCUUACCCAUUCUUUGAAGAUGGUCCUUUCUGGACAGAUUUGUUCUUUUGGGCUAAUGAAAAAUUGAUGGUUAUGGGUGGAAAACAGGAGCAGAUUGGUAAUAGAGAAAGGGGGUGACUUAGCAAAAUAAUUUGCCAAUCUGUUUAUUAAUACUGAGGAGGAAAACAUAGAACGAGUUAAAACCAUGAGAGCAGGAGAUUAGAGAAGGAAUUUUUCAAGAAUUUAGAAUUAGAGAAGUGAAAAAGCACUCACAAUGUGCAAGAAAGGUGUAAAGGAGAGAAAUGGAGAAUUUGCUGUAGUAUAUAAAUGUUCUUUUUGUAGAAUCAUAAAAAAAAAUCCACAGGGAAGCUAUGAUUCAGUAUAGGUUCAUCUGUACCUAGUUGUUAUUAAUAAACAUUUAAUUACUUUGCAAAAUAUUUUGAACUAAAUGAAAAUAUAACAUCAAAUUUGUGGAAAAAUAUGAUAUAGCAAAUGAUAGAAAUCACAAGUAUGCUCUCAAUAAAAUUAAACUAGAAAUCAAUAACAGAAAGGUAGAUGGAAAACUCAA